rnacentral:rRNA from 1 species
UACGUAGGGGCUAGCGUUAUCCGGAAUUACUGGGCGUAAAGGGUGCGUAGGCGGUCUUUCAAGCCAGAAGUGAAAGGCUACGGCUCAACCGUAGUAAGCCUUUGAAACUGGGAAACUUGAGUGCAGGAGAGGAGAGUGGAAUUCCUAGUGUAGCGGUGAAAUGCGUAGAUAUUAGGAGGAACACCAGUUGCGAAGGCGGCUCUCUGGACUGUAACUGACACUGAGGCACGAAAGCGUGGGGAGCAAACAGGAUUAGAUACCCCUGUAGUCCCUGAG